rnacentral:rRNA from 1 species
GACAGCAGCCGCCGCGGUAACACGUAGGGUGCAAGCGUUAAUCGGAAUUACUGGGCGUAAAGCGUGCGCAGGCGGUUCUAUAAGACAGAUGUGAAAUCCCCGGGCUCAACCUGGGAACUGCAUUUGUGACUGUAGAGCUGGAGUACGGCAGAGGGGGAUGGAAUUCCGCGUGUAGCGGUGAAAUGCGUAGAUAUGCGGAGGAACACCGAUGGCGAAGGCAAUCCCCUGGGCCUGUACUGACGCUCAUGCACGAAAGCGUGGGGAGCAAACAGGAUUAGAUACCCCCGUAGUCCCUGUCUCUUAUAC